CCUACGGGAGGCAGCAGUGAGGAAUAUUGGUCAAUGGGCGAGAGCCUGAACCAGCCAAGUCGCGUGAGGGAGUACUGCCCUAUGGGUUGUAAACCUCUUUUGUCGGGGAGCAAAAGCCGGACGUGUCCGGCUGUGAGAGUACCCGAAGAAAAAGCAUCGGCUAACUCCGUUCCAGCAGCCGCGGUAAUACGGAGGAUUCGAGCGUUAUCCGGAUUUAUUGGGUUUAAAGGGUGCGCAGGCGGAUUUUUAAGUCAGCGGUAAAAUCGUGGGGCUCAACCCCAUCCAGCCGUUGAAACUGGGGAUCUAGAGUGUGCGAGAGGUAUGCGGAAUGCGUGGUGUAGCGGUGAAAUGCAUAGAUAUCACGCAGAACCCCGAUUGCGAAGGCAGCAUACCGGUGCACAACUGACGCUCAGGCACGAAAGCGUGGGUAUCGAACAGGAUUAGAUACCCCUGUAGUC
rnacentral:rRNA from 1 species